CAAUUUGCAUUAGUAGACAGCCAGCAGUCGUCAGUGGAACGACAGCUAUCAGAACAGAUCAGAACGUAUUUUACUCAACAAAAUUUUGCACACAAAAACAAACAAUUUACAACUAAAAUGUCCGCUCUAUUGUGUUAUGUAAGCACAUAUUUGGCAUUAACCGUCGCAUUGGCCAAUGCCAACCAGAUGGAGAUACCAGCGUAUGUGAAGAAAAUGAAAUGCGACGACUGUAGCAUGAACAAGGAUUGCGAAGUUAAAAGUACGGGUUUCUUUUGUCCAUACGUUAACGACAGAAUCCAGAUUCAUUACGAUCGAGAUGGUAAUUUUUCGAAGGGCCUGGGAUAUUUGGCUGACUGCAUGCUCCCGCACUAUUAUUUUUACAACAAACAGUCCAUUGCACACGUUUGCUGCUUCUGGUCGCCCAUUAUUGGCUGUCAGCAGGUCAGGAACGUAAAGGCAAUUAAGGCGCAUUGCGGCGCAUGCGCCAAUUGGAAUUGGAGUCCUGACCGACACUAUGUGGGUUGUCCGUGCCAAGAAAGGGAAGAAGUAAUGAAGAGAAAAAGGAAAAAGGGCAAGAAAGGCAGCUGCACAAAAGUAACACAUUUUGGCAUCGUUCCUAUGAUUCUCAUCCAUUUGGUGCAGCAAAUAUUUGCCACCAAUUGAUGCCACCAACUUUUCUACUCAACCAAACACACAACUCACAUCUUGCACAUAGAAUAUGACACAGAAAUAUGACACAGGUGCGCGACAAGAGUUAAAUAAUUCGAAGCUCUUUGAUAGUUCCUUGAUGGUAAACCCUCACCAUACCCAGGGUUCUAUGCACUCCAUUCUAAAGUUACAACCGAGACACGAUUGCUGGUUCAUUACACGCUACAAAUAUUCUGCUGACCUAGAAAGAUGCAAGAAAAUCGUGAACGUGAUGCAACAGACAUGAUGGAUUCAAUUGCUACUUCAAGAGCGCAAAAGAGAGUCCUAAUUCCUGGAAUGUUUUUGGGAUCCAUGGAACGGGCAUUUUCCAUCGAUGUGCUCCACAUUUUUGUACACUCCUUUUGGCAAAUAAACAUUAAGAUAC